AGGGUGAUCGGCCACAUUGGAACUGAGACACGGUCCAAACUCCUACGGGAGGCAGCAGUGGGGAAUAUUGCACAAUGGGCGAAAGCCUGAUGCAGCAACGCCGCGUGAGUGAUGAAGGCCUUCGGGUCGUAAAACUCUGUCCUCAAGGAAGAUAAUGACGGUACUUGAGGAGGAAGCCCCGGCUAACUACGUGCCAGCAGCCGCGGUAAUACGUAGGGGGCUAGCGUUAUCCGGAUUUACUGGGCGUAAAGGGUGCGUAGGCGGUCUUUCAAGUCAGGAGUGAAAGGCUACGGCUCAACCGUAGUAAGCUCUUGAAACUGGGAGACUUGAGUGCAGGAGAGGAGAGUGGAAUUCCUAGUGUAGCGGUGAAAUGCGUAGAUAUUAGGAGGAACACCAGUUGCGAAGGCGGCUCUCUGGACUGUAACUGACGCUGAGGCACGAAAGCGU
rnacentral:rRNA from 1 species